UACGAAGGGGGCUAGCGUUGCUCGGAAUUACUGGGCGUAAAGGGCGCGUAGGCGGCCGAUCAAGUCAGGCGUGAAAUUCCCGGGCUCAACCUGGGGGCUGCGCUUGAGACUGGUUGGCUAGAGGCCGAGAGAGGGUGGUGGAAUUCCCAGUGUAGAGGUGAAAUUCGUAGAUAUUGGGAAGAACACCGGUGGCGAAGGCGGCCAUCUGGACCGCAACUGACGCUGAGGCGCGAAAGCGUGGGGAGCAAACAGG
rnacentral:rRNA from 1 species